rnacentral:rRNA from 1 species
CCUACGGGCGGCUGCAGUGGGGAAUAUUGGACAAUGGGGGGGAACCCUGAUCCAGCCAUGCCGCGUGUGUGAAGAAGGCCCUCGGGUUGUAAAGCACUUUCAGUGAGGAAGAACGCCUGGUGGUUAAUACCCAUCAGGAAAGACAUCACUCACAGAAGAAGCACCGGCUAACUCCGUGCCAGCAGCCGCGGUAAUACGGAGGGUGCGAGCGUUAAUCGGAAUUACUGGGCGUAAAGCGUGCGUAGGUGGCUUGAUAAGCCGGUUGUGAAAGCCCCGGGCUCAACCUGGGAACGGCAUCCGGAACUGUCAAGCUAGAGUGCAGGAGAGGAAGGUAGAAUUCCCGGUGUAGCGGUGAAAUGCGUAGAGAUCGGGAGGAAUACCAGUGGCGAAGGCGGCCUUCUGGACUGACACUGACACUGAGGUGCGAAAGCGUGGGUAGCAAACAGGAUUAGAUACCCCGGUAGUC